rnacentral:rRNA from 1 species
GACGAACGCUGGCGGCGUGCUUAACACAUGCAAGUCGAACGGAAAGGCCCCUUUGGGGGUACUCGAGUGGCGAACGGGUGAGUAACACGUGAGUAACCUGCCCUUGACUUCGGGAUAACUUCAGGAAACUGGGGCUAAUACCGGAUAGGAAUCCUUGCUGCAUGGUGGGGGUUGGAAAGCUUCGGCGGUUUUGGAUGGACUCGCGGCUUAUCAGCUUGUUGGUGGGGUAGUGGCUUACCAAGGCUUUGACGGGUAGCCGGCCUAGAGGGCGACCGGCCACAUUGGGACUGAGAUACGGCCCAGACUCCUACGGGAGGCAGCAGUGGGGAAUAUUGCACAAUGGGCGGAAGCCUGAUGCAGCAACGCCGCGUGCGGGAUGACGGCCUUCGGGUUGUAAACCGCUUUCAGCAGGGGCGAAGCUUGUGGUGACGGUACCUGCAGAAGAAGCACCGGCUAACUACGUG